ACUAUUUCUCUAUGUUUUUUCAUUGUGGAUGUCUCUCUCUUUCUGAAGCACAUAAAUUGAAGCUUGUAAAUAAGAUUCUUGACUUUCUCCUAUUAUGAUUUUAUAUUUGUAUUUAGUGUAGAAGAGUCUCCAUUUCCCCAGGCUUUAUUUAGGUCUAUAUAUCGAUUAGAUAAAUGAGUUCUAAAUAUAGAGUCAAUCGGUCAUUAAGCACUAGAGUUUCAUGAAUAGUCAAAAUUAACUGCUCUUUUGUUCUCUAUGCACUUUCUAUCCUAUCUGCUUCUUCUUCAUACUUUGGCACCACUUUAUUGAGAUCUGCAUGUGCCAAAAGGAUUGGACUUAGCCAGGAUUUAUUUUACAUGAAAUAAUAUUGAGUAUCAAGGGACUGCAUUAGCAUCAGAGUAACAUCUUGCAAUUUUGUUGCUUAUCACUUGAAUAGACCAGAUAGGAUGCAUGACAAUUCAGCAAAUGAUAGAACAAAUCAUGUGAAGGGUGCAAUGUAUUUUCUAACAUUGUUAUCACAGUUUCAUCAACUUAUGCUCAAGAGGGUCCGGACUACUCAGAUCAUAGCAUGCACAAUACAUUUACUAUGCUGGUGCAAUUUGACGGGCUUAUCUGGUGCAGUAUGGCUCCUUUGCCUUGUGCGUAAGAGCUGUUGAUCUGGAGAAAUUUAGCCUAUCAUUUUGGUACACAAAUAGAUCUUCAAGCUGAUGUAUGUUGUGAAAUUUCUGUGCUGCACUUUGAGUUGUGUAGCUGGUGCAAGAACAAGUCUUCAACUAGUGUAUUUAGGCUCUUAUGUACUGGUAGAUUUAGGCUAGUGCAAGAAUGCUUUAUUUUAUAACCGAUCAGGGUAGAUUGAAGUCUUUGGGAAGUCUGUUGAAUGAAGACUUUCAUUAUGAGCAAGGAAUGAAGAGAUACUUGUUAAAUAUGAAAUGAUAUUGAAUUCAAAUGAUUUUUUCA